rnacentral:rRNA from 1 species
ACCCGCUGAACUUAAGCAUAUCAAUAAGCGGAGGAAAAGAAACCAACAGGGAUUGCCCUAGUAACGGCGAGUGAAGCGGCAACAGCUCAAAUUUGAAAUCUGGCGUCUUUGGCGUCCGAGUUGUAAUUUGCAGAGGGCGCUUUGGCGUUGGCAGCGGUCCAAGUUCCUUGGAACAGGACGUCACAGAGGGUGAGAAUCCCGUACGUGGUCGCUAGCCUUUACCGUGUAAAGCCCCUUCGACGAGUCGAGUUGUUUGGGAAUGCAGCUCUAAAUGGGAGGUAAAUUUCUUCUAAAGCUAAAUACUGGCCAGAGACCGAUAGCGCACAAGUAGAGUGAUCGAAAGAUGAAAAGCACUUUGGAAAGAGAGUUAAAAAGCACGUGAAAUUGUUGAAAGGGAAGCGCUUGCAGCCAGACUUGCCUGUAGUUGCUCAUCCGGGUUUUUACCCGGUGCACUCUUCUAUAGGCAGGCCAGCAUCAGUUUGGGCGGUUGGAUAAAGGUCUCUGUCAUGUACCUCUCUUCGGGGAGAACUUAUAGGGGAGACGACAUGCAACCAGCCCGGACUGAGGUCCGCGCAUCUGCUAGGAUGCUGGCGUAAUGGCUGU